CUCGGUACGGGACAUGCCUGACGAUUUUGCGUCCGAUAUCUCAAGGCCAGCCAAGGAGGACAGCGGUCCGCGACCGCGGAGCCACACUAGAUAAGCGAUUAUAAUGGCGAACGAUCUUGUUAAAAAUCGCACCUCCAGUGGAAAGUCGCCUCCGAGCCGAGCGGAACUGUAUGCACCGCGUUCUCAGCUGCGUUUUCACCGAGCGAGGAUUCGCGUCGGGACCAACCCGAGUGAAUGCCCGCGAGAGCGACCAGCAGAAACAGCAUCAUCAUUAAUUAUACAGAGUUGUAUCACGGAGUCGGCAAAGGAUGGAUCUACACUGAAGAUCCUUACUGCGAACUUUCGUAUCUCGCAGGACUCCGC